CGCCGGAAGUUUUUCAAACGCCGGAAGUCCCGCCUCGCUGCGCUCAGGCUCGCCGCAGAGUCGCCGGGCUGUACCGGAGCGGGAUGGAGCGGAGCCGGACGGAGGCGGGGCUAGAGCGAGGAUCCCGCGGGAGCGCUGAGCUUCUUUCAAAUUCAAUCAAGAAUGUUUCUUUUCAUUACAUCACUCGGAAUUUGCAGUAGAAAAAUGAGAAACGGUCAAGUUUUAUUCUUUCCAAAGUCGAUUUUAAUCGUCGUCCGUGAACUUCCCUGGCCGCGUUUUAGGCGUAUGUUUAGCGUGUUUCAUUACCUCCUAAGCCCCAAGACAAGGGGUUUUGCUUUCGUCUCUGGAAAUACCCACGUUUUGCCUCUUCUGAGAAGCCCUCACACCGCCCCUGAGGCGCCUGCUACCUUAAAGGAAGAGCCUGACCCUGGAGUCCUCGCUGUCCUGCUGCGGUCUCGGUCUCGGCGGCUUGCGCUGCCAAGUGGAUCGGUUUGCAACUUCCUAUUGCACGUGGGCAAAGCCCUUGAUGUCUUUGAACUUGUUUCCACCCCUUCCCUCGUCUUACCCCAUCCCUCAUAAGGUGCCCCGUUACAUAUGCGGAGCAAAUGCGCUCACAGAGUUCAUGGGCUCAAGCGCCUCUCCCACAUAACCUCACCUUGGUCAAAAAGGAGAACAACACCCUGACCCAUUUCAUUUUCAGAGCUUUGAAAAAGUGCUGUGAUUUUUGUCCUAAAGACCCAGUGUCUCCCAGGUGAGCCCUGCUCCUAAUCCCAGCGUUUCCAUUUCCCUUCCCACCAAAACAAAAGUAGCUCUUGCUUUUUAUUUUGAUGACUCCAAAGAAUCUCACCCCCACUUGCAUCCCCCAAGUUCCAUUUUUUCCCCCAUUGCAAGUUAAAAACCAUGAAGGGCCUUCCCAGCAAUUCUUUCCCUUACCUUGAAUAUAUUUCCUCAAAACCAGUAUUCAGUAGAAAUGAAAAAAUGACUUGUGUUUUGACGUGUGUUCUUUUGUUGUUGUUGUUGUUGUUGUUUCGGUUUUUUUUUUUUUUUUUUUUUUUUUUGCCAAACACACCACACUGUAAACUCAAAAUAACAGACCCAAAAAAAUUAGACUGAAAAAUUAGGGAAAUAAGUCUGUUGUUGAGAUUCAAUUUAGCAGAUCAAAAUCCUAUGGAUAUGGGAUGCCUGGCUGGCAUAGUCAGUAGAGCAUAUUACCCUUGAUCUUGGGGUUGCAAAUUUGAGCCCCAUAUUGGGCGUAGAGUUUACUUAAAAAAAAAUUUUUUUUUAAUUAUUUCAAGAAAAAAAACUUUUAGAAGAUUCUAUAGAGCAGCUUUCCUUGCUAAUGACUCAUUUUCAUGUGUUUUGAGUACUGAAAGGCCAAACAAGGUAUUGAAAUGUCUUAUCAGUGAGCCUUGCUACAGAUUUACCCAAAGUGACCAUAAAUUUUGCUGGAUAAUGUUUGAGACAGGAAGAAACAGGAUUCUUUGAAUUUAGUAAGUCUGUUCAGCUAUACCUAACCUUCCUGGACAGUAAGGAUCAAUUUCUGAGAUUGCAGAGUUCUUUUUUUUCUUCUUAAUUUGUAGUCUCAUGUUGCCUUUUGAAAUGGUUCCAGAAGGUUUGGAACCGUCUGCUAUAAUCACAGUCUGCUCCAUAAUUUCUAGUUCUGAAAAUACUAGAGAACACAUUACAGUUCUGGAUGACAAGGGGAAACUGGGUCAUGAUAAUCAACAAUAAUAAUUUACUGUUUACUAUUCAACUACGUUUGAGGUCAAAUUGUGCUACCCACGUUUAAGGUCGGGGAUAUUAUCUAGAAUCAGGGUUGGAUUGUAUAUCAAAAUAGCCACAGUAUAAAGUGAGGGUGAGAGUAGAGAUUGACCGGCAUUAUGCUAGAUCUUGACUCCUCCAUCAGGGAUAUUUGACUUUCCACUGGUGAAGAAAAAAAGAGGGCAGCCAGGGUGGCUCAGCGGUUUAGCGCCACCUUCAGCCCAGGUUGUGAUCCCAGAGUCCUGGGAUCUAGUCCCACAUGGAACUCCCCUGCAUGGAGCCUGCUUCUCCCUCUGCCUGUGUCUCUGCCUCUCUCUCUCUCUGUCUCACAUGAAUGAAUAAGUAAAAUCUUAAAAAAAAAAAAAAAAGAUUACUAAGUUGAAGUAAAUAACCUAUAAAUUUUUAGACAUCAGACAUCUGGGAAAAAUAAAAGCUGGGGCAGAGUCCUCUAAAAUUAAUGCAGGUGGCGACGUACUCCAGAGACAAGUAACACUGUCCAGAAAACAUUUCUCUGUUGGAAUUUUGCAAGACAAUCACUCCUACUAAAAGCUGUCAAAGGAAAUUUAUAAUCACUAAGUAUAAACCAGGCCCCAGCAUAAAAACUGCCUUUUCUCUCUAGGACCUUGCCCAGUCUAUUGUUUACUUUUGGAUCUUAAUUGCUGAAUUUCAAAAAAUUCAUGGCUUUAGCCUGGAAUAAUUUGGACUCUCACCUGAGACUUAUGCAAUAGAGUUUGGGAGUAAUGAAACAUGUUUUGGAUUUGCAUGCAGGUUAUUUAUUUUAUUGCUGCAAAACAUAGAGCUGUUAAUAUGGUAUUUAUUGGUAUGUUAUCACUUGCAUGUUAUUGUCUGUGUUUUCAAGUCUUUUCCCUAUGGGAUCUGUCUCCCCAGGGACACUGUAAUAAUGUUAAUGACUUCUAUUUAUGGAUCAUCUACUUUGUGUCACACACUAAGUUAAUGCUUUUACAUGUAUGUGUAUUUAACCUACAUCUCAAUGAGAUGUUGCUAUAAUCCUCUUUAUAAAUGAGAAGACUGAAGUUAUAUCAGCUAUUAAAUUGCAGAUCUGGAUUUAAA